rnacentral:rRNA from 1 species
GUCUACGGCCACGCCACCCUGAACAAGCCUGGUCUGAUCCGAUCUCAGAAGCUAAGCAGGGUCGGGCCUGGUUAGUACUUGGAUGGGAGACACCUAGGAAGACCAGGUGCUGUAGGCG